GGAAGUGGGGUGGCCACUGGAGGAGGAGUAGCGACCGGAGGAGGAGUAGCAACGGGAGGAGGAGGAGUAGCUGUGGGAGUGGGAGCUGGGGCUUGAGCAAGUGCAACUGUGGCGAAGAGAGCCAUUAUCAAGAAAACUUGGACACUUUUGGAACCCAUUUCUCUUUAGAAGAUGUUUCUUCUUGAUAGUGAGAGAGGUUAUGAGAUUAGAGAGAGAGAGAGCGAGAGUUCUGAAGUUGAGAAAAAUGGAAGAGGACUUAUAAAAGGAGAGAAUAUGAAGUAUUAAUUAAAGAAGAUUUCUAAUAUCUUUUAAUAUAGUAUAGUAAGUAAUAUAUGCAGACUAACAUGCAAACGCAUAAUUGGAACAUGGGGUUGCCUAUCUGUACUCUCCGAGGCCGAAGCAUUAAUAACCAAAAAAAAAAUACAAAUCGAGUCUAUGAUUGUAGUAUGUACCGAUAAUGACAAUUUGACAUAUUUUAGAAGGUAAAUCGAUUUACACAUAUGGAAGAUAAAUAUCAUAAAGAUUAGUCGGAUGAAGACUUAACAUCUUUGUUAUGUUGACUUUUCUUAGUAGACAAUCCACAGACCAUGAUGUAACGUUAAAUUAGACAAAGUUAACCUUGAUUAGUUAAUUAGAGCUGUGAUUGGAUGGUGAAUAAAUAUAAUUGGAGAGAGAAUCCAAUUUUGUAAUAAUAUGAUUUCAAAGAUCAUUAAUGUUAUAUGACGUGACAAAUGUGUGAACAGCUAACAUGUCUAGUUCAAGAAUCAAGAAUUGCAAAUUUGCAUGUCUUCCUGUCUACUUAAUCCACUUGUUAUUUUUUUUUUUGUCAAACAAUCCACUUGUUAUUUUAAUUUUUUUAUAUAUACAACAACGACCUUUUUAUGUAACUUUGGCAUAGUAUAAGUUAUCUUAUUAUACAGGAAAUAAAGAAAAAAAAAUGAAAAUCUGAAAUUUGAAACAAAUGUAAAAACUAAAAAGAUGUUAAGCUAAAACGGCGGUGUACAUAACAGCAGCGAAGACGGUUCCGGCGAUGAAAGCCUUGUUGGAGAAAGCGGCACUAGGAGCAGGCGCAUCCUCUGAAGGCCCUGGAGCAAGUCCGCUAGGGCUCGAGGCGGGACCUUCUGGUGCUGGUGGAGAGGCGCUAGGAGCAUCAGAUGGAGAAGGAGCAGCUGCUGGUGGAGUAGUGGCGGGGGCUGGAGUCGCGGCAGGUGGUGGAGUGGUGGUUGGAGCUGGAGUUGCGGCGGGGGGUGGGGUGGCCACUGGAGGAGGAGUAGCGACCGGAGGAGGAGUAGCAACGGGAGGAGGAGGAGUAGCUGUGGGAGUGGGAGCUGGGGCUUGAGCAAGUGCAACUGUGGCGAAGAGAGCCAUUAUCAAGAAAACUUGGACACUUUUGGAACCCAUUUCUCUUUAGAAGAUGUUUCUUCUUGAUAGUGAGAGAGGUUAUGAGAUUAGAGAGAGAGAGAGCGAGAGUUCUGAAGUUGAGAAAAAUGGAAGAGGACUUAUAAAAGGAGAGAAUAUGAAGUAUUAAUUAAAG
rnacentral:lncRNA from 1 species